rnacentral:rRNA from 1 species
GAUGAACGCUGGCGGCGUGCCUAAUACAUGCAAGUCGAGCGAACAGACGAGGAGCUUGCUCCUCUGACGUUAGCGGCGGGCGGGUGAGUAACACGUGGAUAACCUACCUAUAAGACUGGGAUAACUUCGGGAAACCGGAGCUAAUACCGGAUAAUAUAUUGAACCGCAUGGUUCAAUAGUGAAAGACGGUUUUGCUGUCACUUAUAGAUGGAUCCGCGCCGCAUUAGCUAGUUGGUAAGGUAACGGCUUACCAAGGCAACGAUGCGUAGCCGACCUGAGAGGAUGAUCGGCCACACUGGAACUGAGACACGGUCCAGACUCCUACGGGAGGCAGCAGUAGGGAAUCUUCCGCAAUGGGCGAAAGCUUGACGGAGCAACGCCGCGUGAGUGAUGAAGGUCUUCGGAUCGUAAAACUCUGUUAUUAGGGAAGAACAAAUGUGUAAGUAACUAUGCACGUCUUGACGGUACCUAAUCAGAAAGCCACGGCUAACUACGUG